rnacentral:rRNA from 1 species
AUUUUCUUAAGCCAGCGGGGUUGCAGGUGUGCCUUCGGGAAGUGUAAGACAGGUGUUGCAUGGCUGUCGUCAGCUCGUGUUGUGAAAUGCUGGGCUAAGUCCCGCAACGAGCGCAACCCUUAUCCUUGUUUGCCAGCACUUCGGGUGGGAACUCCAGGGAGACUGCCGGUGAUAAACCGGAGGAAGGUGGGGACGACGUCAAGUCAUCAUGGCCCUUACGAGUAGGGCUACACACGUGCUACAAUGGCGCAUACAGAGGGCGGCCAACUUGCGAAAGUGAGCGAAUCCCAAAAAGUGCGUCGUAGUCCGGAUUGGAGUCUGCAACUCGACUCCAUGAAGUCGGAAUCGCUAGUAAUCGUGGAUCAGAAUGCCACGGUGAAUACGUUCCCGGGCCUUGUACACACCGCCCGUCACACCAUGGGAGUGGGCUGCAAAAGAAGUGGGUAGUUUAACCUUCGGGAGGACGCUCACCACUUUGUGGUUCAUGACUGGGGUGAAGUCGUAACAAGGUAACCG